rnacentral:rRNA from 1 species
UACGGGGGGAGCAAGCGUUGUUCGGAUUUACUGGGCGUAAAGGGCGCGUAGGCGGCCACCGCAAGUCGACUGUGAAAUCUCCGGGCUUAACCCGGAACGGUCAGCCGAUACUGCGGGGCUAGAGUUCAGAAGGGGCAACUGGAAUUCUCGGUGUAGCGGUGAAAUGCGUAGAUAUCGAGAGGAACACCUGCGGCGAAGGCGGGUUGCUGGGCUGACACUGACGCUGAUGCGCGAAAGCUAGGGGAGCGAACGGG